rnacentral:rRNA from 1 species
UUAGGAAUUUUGGGCAAUGGGCGAAAGCCUGACCCAGCAACGCCGCGUGGGUGAUGAAGGCCCUCGGGUCGUAAAGCCCUUUUCCCAGGGAAGAUGAUGACGGUACCUGGGGAAUCAGCCCCGGCUAACUACGUGCCAGCAGCCGCGGUAAUACGUAGGGGGCAAGCGUUGUCCGGAUUUAUUGGGCGUAAAGCGCUCGCAGGUGGUUCGUUGCGUCGUGCGUGAAAGACCCCGGCUCAACUGGGGAGGGUCGUGCGAUACGGGCGAACUGGAGGCCAGUAGGGGGAUGCGGAAUUCCGGGUGUAGUGGUGGAAUGCGUAGAGAUCCGGAGGAACACCAGCGGCGAAGGCGGCAUCCUGGACUGGUCCUGACACUCAGGAGCGAAAGCGUGGGGAGCGAUCCGG